rnacentral:rRNA from 1 species
GAUGAACGCUGGCGGCGUGCCUAAUACAUGCAAGUCGAGCGAACGGACGAGACGCUUGCUUUUCUGAUGUUAGCGGCGGACGUGUGAGUAACACGUGUAUAACCUACCUAUAAGACUGGGAUAACUUCGGGAAACCGGAGCUAAUACCGGAUAAUAUUUUGAACCGCAUGGUUCAAAAGUGAAAGACGGUCUUGCUGUCACUUAUAGAUGGAUCCGCGCUGCAUUAGCUAGUUGGUAAGGUAACGGCUUACCAAGGCAACGAUGCAUAGCCGACCUGAGAGGGUGAUCGGCCACACUGGAACUGAGACGCGGUCCAGACUCCUACGGGAGGCAGCAGAAGGGAAUCUUCCGCAGUGGGCGAAAGCCUGACGGAGCAACGCCGCGUGAGUGAUGAAGGUCUUCGGAUCGUGAAACUCUGUUAUUAGGGAAAAACAUAUGUGUAAGUAACUGUGCACAUCUUGACGGUAACUAAUCAGAAAGCCACGGCUAACUACGUG